AACGAACGCUGGCGGCAUGCCUAACACAUGCAGGUCGAACGAGACCUUCGGGUCUAGUGGCGCACGGGUGCGUAACGCGUGGGAACCUGCCCUUAGGUUCGGAAUAACUCCCCGAAGGGGGUGCUAAUACCGGAUAAUGUCUUCGGACCAAAGAUUUAUCGCCUUUGGAUGGGCCCGCGUUGGAUUAGCUAGUUGGUAGGGUAAAAGCCUACCAAGGCGACGAUCCAUAGCUGGUCUGAGAGGAUGAUCAGCCACACUGGGACUGAGACACGGCCCAGACUCCUACGGGAGGCAGCAGUGGGGAAUAUUGGACAAUGGGCGAAAGCCUGAUCCAGCAAUGCCGCGUGAGUGAUGAAGGCCUUAGGGUUGUAAAGCUCUUUUACCCGGGAUGAUAAUGACAGUACCGGGAGAAUAAGCUCCGGCUAACUCCGUG
rnacentral:rRNA from 1 species